rnacentral:rRNA from 1 species
UACGAAGGGGGCUAGCGUUGUUCGGAUUUACUGGGCGUAAAGCGCACGUAGGCGGAUCGUUAAGUCAGGGGUGAAAUCCUGGGGCUCAACCCCAGAACUGCCUUUGAUACUGGCGAUCUCGAGUCCGGAAGAGGUGAGUGGAACUCCUAGUGUAGAGGUGGAAUUCGUAGAUAUUCGCAAGAACACCAGUGGCGAAGGCGGCUCACUGGCCCGAUACUGACGCUGAGGCACGAAAGCGUGGGGAGCAAACAGGG